rfam:Hordeum vulgare subsp. vulgare, WGS project CAJW01000000 data, contig: morex_contig_43800
AUUCUACUCCCUCCAUCCGGAAUUACUUGUCGCAAAAAUGAUAGAAAUGGAUGUAUCUAGAAUUAAAAUACAUCUAGAUACAUCCAUUCCUCGGACAAGUAUUUUCGGACGGAAGGGAGUAUUAU